rnacentral:rRNA from 1 species
UACCAGCACCCCGAGUGGUCGGGACGUUUUAUUGGGCCUAAAGCAUCCGUAGCCGGUUCUACAAGUCUUCCGUUAAAUCCACCUGCUUAACAGAUGGGCUGCGGAAGAUACUAUAGAGCUAGGAGGCGGGAGAGGCAAGCGGUACUCGAUGGGUAGGGGUAAAAUCCGUUGAUCCAUUGAAGACCACCAGUGGCGAAGGCGGCCUUGCCAGAACGCGCUCGGACGGUGAGGGAUGAAAGCUGGGGG